GGGAGGAGGGAGCCCUGAGCCUCUCCCAGGCUGCACAGGAGCCUGAGAAACCUUCCAGAAUCUGCUCCCAGACCAUGACUCCUGAUGUGAUCUGACGUAAUCUGAUGUAGCCAGUGCCCUGGGCUUCAGCUACAGAAAGGCCUGGAAAUGACCUGUCAGUGACCUUGGCUCUCAGAGGUCCCAGGAACCACAUUAGUUGACCACGUGCAAGUGGUGGGGUCCUGCUCUGUGGUCCUGACCCCCGGCCCCGGGGCCCGUCUCUGUGGUCCUGACCCCCACAAGAAAUCUGCUCUGCGGUUUUGACCCCUUGGGGCCCUGAUCUGUAGUUCUGACCACCCCCAGGGGCCCGUCUCUGUGGUCCUGACUGCCCCCUCGGGGCCUGUAUCUGUGGUCCUGACCCCCGCCCCCGGGGCCUGUCUCUGUGGUCCUGACCCCCCUUCAGGCCUAUCUCCGUGGUGAUGGAAGAAGUUUUCUUCUGACCUGGAGACGUGUAAGAAAGCAAGAUUUAGAAUCCUGUGCCUGGGCCCAAGGCAUUUGCACCUGUGUGAACAGGAAGAGGGCCCAGGACAACCUCUGGGCCAACCCCCCGCGACUGGGCCUUUAUCCUGGCCGCCCUGGUCCAUCCUCACACACCUUCCAGCAACACAGCUGUGCUAUGGGCUCCCACCUCAAACCUGCUGGUCUCCGGGCCACCUGCAGAACGAGCCGGACUCUCGGGCCCCCUGCACCCCCUCUGCAGGGGCUCAGGCUGUCCCUGGCCCCCACCAGCGCCUGGUCUCACCUACCCCAGGCUUCCCACCAAGGUGUCCCUUCCCUGUCCUGCCUCUCAUCCCCUCCUGUGCCUGCCCGGCUCCAAAGCCCCGUCGUCCAGACAGAGCCUGCCCCGCCGCUCCAGUGGGGACUGAUGUGAUGAUCCCAUCUCCUCCGCAGGAGGCACAAUGACAGUUUGGGCCCCGCGGGUCACCCAGGCCUGGCAUUCCCCGUGGGACUCUGACUGAGCCGGGCUGCACCCAGUGAAGUGGGCACUGACAGCAUUGCCCGCUGUGGUCCCCUCAGAGGCUGUGCGUGCCAGGAAGGAGGGAGGGAAGUCCCCCAGCAGGGCCGGGAGCAGCUUGUCCAGGGGAGGGGUGCAGAGGGACCACAAAGAGGCAGACGCGGACGGCAGGCCCCCCGGGCAGGGCUGGGAAGAGAGAACAGUGGGGUAGUGGGGGAUGUGCUGCAGAGGCUGGUCAUAGCCCGGGGCGGGGGGUGGGGGGAGUGGGAGCAGCCACUUCACAGACUGAACGGCAGACACCAGUGAUGUCAGCAAGCCCAGCCCAGCCCGAGGAAGUCAGCACAGCUCUGUCCAGAGCGGGACCCCCCACUCAGCACCAUGGACGCUUGGGGCCCAGUCACUCUGAUACUUCCCGGCCCCGCCCGCUGCUUGGUGACAGCAUCUGCCACAGGAAUGACAACCCAGAAAUGUCUGCAGACGUCGCAGGUCAAAACCACAGCAGGUGAGAACUCGGAUGUUGGCCAAGCCGCGUCCCCACACAACAGCCUUGUCCGGGCUGCCUGCCCUCGAGGGUCUGGGUCACCAGGCGGGCCACCGGUGGGGGUGAUGCUGUUUACGCUCUGCGCGGAGCAGACACACCUGCCCUUCAAGACAGCUUCGGGGCGAAGCCCCCUACCAAUGAACAAGUGAAAGAAAGGGGAGCACGAGCAGGAGGCAUCGCCCGGCCCUCUGCCUCCCUGGCCCCGAGGUGAGGUCGCGUCCAACCUUGGAAAACCCCUCCAGAAAGCCUAGGGCAAGAGCAGGUGUGAGUUCACGCUCGGGAAGAACCAGAAGCAGCGGUGACGCAUCAACGCCUGGGCAGCCACCUGGAACACCGGGAACGAGCCCUGCGCAGGGUGGAGCAGGUGCUCAGAUCAGCAGCUAAGAGAUGCAUCUUACAUCCAGAAGCUUCUGUCUGGCCGUCUCUCAAUCAUCCACGUUAAAAGACAGCCUUCAAAAAGAGGCCAAAUCAUGGCUCUGAAGCAGACAGACAAUAAAUGCAUAUUGAUGAUUUUAUUAAA